AGGGAAGUCGAUGUAAUAAGUGUAAAAUGCUCCACUCAAAUGUAAUUUGACAAAACCCUUAAAAAAAAAACGGAAAAAAAAAAAAAACGUAAACCUCCCAAAUCGAUUGGGAGAGAGGACGAGACUUCCAGCGACUUUCUCGGUUGAGUGAAAACUUUUAUUACCCAUCCUCGUCUUCCAUCUCCAUCUCCAUCUCCAUCUCGCCCCUCUCUGUGUGGAACGUUGGGCUCGAUCUCCUCAAGAAAAAUUUUCAGGUCGCAGAUUGGAGAUCACAACAAAUUUUUUUUGCUCUCUCCCCUCGUUAUUGCUAUGGUUGGAUGAGUUUCCUGACUCCGCUUCUUUGUCUUCAAGGAGUCCUUUUCUUCCAUCACUAAUCAAGUUCUCCAGAGUGAAGCAUAGGAGGAUGAUGGAUACAAUAUUUUUACUUCUUCGCUGAAGUAGAAGAAAUUCUGAGGAGGAAAAAACUAGGGCUACAGUACUCCUGAUUUGGGUUUUCUGAAAUUGUUUUGCUUUGGCCGAACUUUGGUUUUUCAAUUAUUUUGUUUUUGGUCGUGGUUGGAUUUUUCUCUCUCCGAAUUUCUGUUCAUCUAAUUUUGAAUCUUUUAGGGGAGAGCUUUUAUCCAUUUCCUCUUCAAUAAACCCGAACCAACUUCUCUCUCAUCAGAUUCUCUCUCUGUAUGUGCGUGCGUGUUGUGACAAUAGGCUAUGGAUUAACAAUUUCUUGUCAUGGGUAAGAUAGAGAAGAAGCAAGGAAGUUGUUCGAUGGAAUGUCUCAGAGUGACAUUGGCCCGGUUUGGUUUGCACUCUCGGAAUUGUUUUUGAGAACAAUUUUUCAGAAAAUCAGAAUAUAGAAUAAUUCUUAAUUUUUUUAAUUUAAAAUUCUGCAUGGUAAGAAAAACUGUAGAAUAAUUUUCAAAGAACAAAAUUUUUGUAUUAAAUCAGCACACGUCAUAUGCAAAUAUCCAAACUCUUAAAUCUUAAAUACCAACAUAAAUAAAAAUAUUAUGAACAAUUUGUUCCAUCUCAUUGAUCAAGAACAAGUAACAAACAAGGCCACACAUUCCAAUUUAAAAUUAACAAUUUUUUUUUCAGUGAAUGUGUUUAUUCCAUGAGUACCGAUGGUGCCCAUGCAUAAUCAUUUGAACGUAAGAAAUAAUAAGGAAUUGGGUAAGUUUGGGUAUGGGUCAAGUUGAUUCCCUUUUGUCUUUGGUUCUAUAAAAGUAAACCUCCCAAAUCGGUUGUGAGAGAGCACCAGACUUCCAGCGACAUUCUAGGGCCCGGCGAAGCUGCAGAAAGGAAGCUCAUCGAUUGUGUCCCCAGAUGACUUAUGUCGCUGGACGAACAAGAUUCAGCGCUUGGGUCGGAAGGUGUGGAUGGGCUGCCCCCUCUUAUUGAAGCUUUAGAAACUCUGAGCCACAAUGUUCAGUGGAUCCCUAAAGAUUCUAUUUUCAAGUUGAUUAUCAUGUUUUUCCUGCCGGAAAUGAAAAAACAAUUGGAGGUUAUUAGGUUUCGAGUAUCAGACAUGGAGAAAAAGGACGUUCAGGACGUCAUUUGCCAUUAUGCAGAGGAAGGAAAGCUCAUAGAGUUGGCUGCUUUGCUUUCGAUAUAUUCACGUUCUUUUUUCUCAUCAGUUUCUCUAGCUUUUCAUGUUAAUGUUGGUGACCCAAAGUUAAGUAGAAUGGAGACAUUACGUGAACAGAUUGUCUCUAUGAUCAUGGCAUAUAAUGAAGAGGAGCGGUGGAUAUUAAUGGGCAGUGGUAGCAGUAAAUUGGCUCAGGCAUGCAAGGACAAAAAGAGGUUGAUGAUGUCGGUGAUGUUGUUGCUUGAGAUCUAUGAAAGGAUCGGUCUUAAGAUAGAAUAUUACCUGCACGAGGCGCAUGCCACUGUAUGUUAACAAUACUUACUCAGUUCCUCUGCUCUCAUGAUAUUGAUGACAUUGGUGCUAAUCGUGCCCAAUAACGUUAAUGUUUGUUGACCUCGUGCAAUACCGUGGAGAGGUUGGCCAGAGCAGGGUUUAAUAAUGGCAACAUAUGUUUCAAGACUUCUCAAGAUUUCAAACUUCCAAUCACGAAUGAACUUUUUCACGUUUUUAAACAUCAGGCCUGGUUUCUCAUGUCAUCUACUUGUAGUUUAUAUAGUCUUUUGUUUCAUUCUUGGCUUGGAUUUGUUUGCUAUUGUGGUUUGUAAAAUGUUUACCCUGAAUUCUUAAUAGCCAAAGCUAAUGGAUAUCUUCUUCUUUUGUUCCAUAUCUGGACGUAAAUUUCAUGGUUUGUUGGUGAAAAUUUCUUGGAUGAGCGGCGAGUGAAGCUGUCAGGUAUGGAUUACGAAUAUGAAUUUGAACAAAAAAAAACCUCCUCAAUGUUCGUGAAAAUUCACAGUCUUCCAAUAACAAAGAAGCGAACCACUAGAAUGCCACUUCAGCAGCAACGGAGGUCAAUCUCGACACACUCUUCACAGGACAAACCAGGUUUAUUUUCUGUGGUGCAGUCAUUUUAUAUGUCACCGAGGUAUGAAAUAAGCUUCAGUCCAAAGUUUUGCGCAACUACCGAAGCUCAAACAACAUUCCAAGUGAUCGAAAAACACGUGCCAGGUCUUGUGUUAAGGAAAAGAUUGCCCUCUUUUCUAUCAGCCAUGAAGAGGGUUAUUUGAUAUCCCAAGUAACAUCUUUUGAGGUUGUCUCUGGCCUAAAAUUGAACGUGGGGAAGAGCUCCUUGGUUCUGGUGGGGGAGGUGCAGGACAUUGCCAAUCUUGCUGCGGUGCUAGGGUGUGGGGUUUCCUCUUUCCCCAUUUCUUAUUUGGGUUUGCCUUUGGGUUGGCCGUCGAGAAGGGUGGGGGCUGGACCCUGUGAUCGAGAGGUUCGAGAAGAGGCAUGCCGAGUGGAAGAAGUAAUAUCUUUUUAAGGGUGGGAAGGUUACCCUCAUGAAAAGCACGUUGUCAAGCCUUCCUAUAUAUUUCCUCUCUUUUUCAGAUUCCAAUUUCUAUGGCUGAAAGGAUUGAGAAGGUCAGCGGAAUUUCCUUUGGGGUGGAUUGGGGGAUGAAUUCAACUAUCACCUUGUUCGAUGGGAGCAGGUGUGUAGACCUCUUCAGUUGGGAGGCUUGGGUAUCAUGAGGGUUAUCCUUUUCAAUAAGGCUUUGCUAGGGAAGUGGUUGUGUAGAUUUGGAGGUGAGCGCCAUUGGGUAUGGAGGACAGUCAUCUCUUGCCGUUUUGGGGAGGAAAGAGAUGUGUGGUGCUCCCGAGUGGUGAGAUCUUCCGAGCGUUGGUGUUUGGAAGUUUAUUCGAAAGGGUUAGGAUGAUUUCCAAACAUAUCAGAUUCAGAGUUUGAGAGGGCAACUCAGAUUUGGGAGGACAUAUGGUGUGGCGAGCGUUCGUUGGCUUUUUCGUUUCCCAGGCUCUUCAAGAUUGCCCUUGACAGGCAUGCUCGGGUGGCCGACUUUUAUUGGCUUGAUAGCGGGAGGAUCACUUGGGAUGUGCAUUUUCAGCGACAGUUUCAUGAUUGGGAUCUGGACGACAUUCCAGACUAGUUGGAUCCAAAGUUGUUAAAAUCCCGAUUCUUGAUCAUAGAAUCUUACGAUUCUACGAUCUCAAAUUGCCAAACUGAUCUCGAUCCCAUCUAAAAUCUCUGGGAAGUGGAAUCUUAGUAGAAUCUAUAAAGUCAGAAUUAGGAUCGUAAAAUCGCUUAGAAUCUUACGAUUCUAUCGAUUAUACUAAAUUGUGUUAUUUUGUUCUUCUUCCGAAUUUAUUUGGGCCUUCAAUUAAUUUUGGACUUAAUAAAUUUAAUUAUUUUAAAUAUAAGGUCCAACUCUUUAGCCUAAUUACAUUUAAAAAUAACGAAUGUCAAAUGUAAAGACGAUCACACUCUGAUUUUCAAAGGUAUGGUGCAAAAUUUCAAAAUUUUCCUAUAUUUUUUUAUUCUUCUUAAUUUCUCUUUUCUUCUCUCUUUUUCAGUACAAGGAACAAAAAUAAUAUUAUUUUCACCUAUUCUUCGUCAAUUUUGAAACAAAAAUAAAGAAAUACUUUUUUUUUCUGUUGUAGUGACCAUUUUCUGUAUUAAAUGUGACCAUAGGUUGAAAGCAUCAGUAUUUUGUUGUGAUUGUGGUCUGACUGUCCAAAAUAUAUGGUAAUGGGCUGCAUGAUUCUGAUACCCUAACUUGUAAGGAGGCAAGAGUUACGGAAAUAGUUGAAUGACUUGGGAUAAGGGACCUGCUCUGGUCCUCAUUCCACUUGAUUAAGUGCCUUUUGCUUGCUGAUGAUGUUUAUUUCAGUAUUAUUCAUGCAUUUCUCAUUGAGAACUGAGACCAUCCCUCUUUUUUAUGUAUGAUAUGCCAACUUCUUUUGUGUUUUUUUUUUU